rnacentral:rRNA from 1 species
UGGGGAAUAUUGGACAAUGGGCGAAAGCCUGAUCCAGCCAUGCCGCGUGUGUGAAGAAGGUCUUCGGAUUGUAAAGCACUUUAAGUUGGGAGGAAGGGCAGUAAAUUAAUACUUUGCUGUUUUGACGUUACCGACAGAAUAAGCACCGGCUAACUCUGUGCCAGCAGCCGCGGUAAUACAGAGGGUGCAAGCGUUAAUCGGAAUUACUGGGCGUAAAGCGCGCGUAGGUGGUUCGUUAAGUUGGAUGUGAAAUCCCCGGGCUCAACCUGGGAACUGCAUUCAAAACUGGCAAGCUAGAGUACGGUAGAGGGUGGUGGAAUUUCCUGUGUAGCGGUGAAAUGCGUAGAUAUAGGAAGGAACACCAGUGGCGAAGGCGACCACCUGGACUGAUACUGACACUGAGGUGCGAAAGCGUGGGGAGCAAACA